GUGGACUGGAAACAAAACGUAAACGGUCGUGUCGUAACCACGGCCGCCGCAGUCACCGGCACCGCCGCCGUCAAUUGAGCAUGCGACUGCCGUCGAUUUGUGAAAACCGACGACAACCUACCCGCCGUUCUGAAGUGAGGUUAGGUGAAAUGCACUAACUACUGAUUUUUCUUUUCUUUCGCGUCGGUCCGGACUAUCCCGUCGAACAAAGCGUAUCCCGCCCCUUUCGAUUCACCGCUACCUCAUUCCAGUCCAAACAUUCUCGUUCGUCGCAAGAUACAUGAAAUAUCCGGAUUUCAUACAAUCCUUCGAAUGGAGCUUAGGCCUGCCUAGUGGUAUUGGACCUCUUGGAUUUUCCCGGGUACUCUUUUGAUCACGGAUUCUUCUUUCCUCCGGUUCUAACUUGCCCGUUCUAGUUUUUUUUUUUGUUUUUUUUAUUCUGUUUGCAAUAUCUAGCUUUUUUAACUCAUGAUUGUAUCUCGAUCUUCCUAAUUUUUUACAUAAUACACUAACACGAAGAAUAACUAAACCAAUAGGUCAAAACUAUAACUCAUAAUAUACUGUCGGGUUAGGUAUAUUUGUAUCGUAGACGAAUUUUUAAACAGCAGAUCGCAU